GCUGCGUGUGGUGGCUCAUGCCUGUAGUCCCAGCUCCUUGGGAGGUUGAGGUGAGGGGAUCGCUCGGUCCCAGGAGUUUGGCAUUAAUUGGUGACCUCCCAGGAGCAGGGGACCACCAGGUUGCCUAAGGAGAGGUGAACCGGCCCAGGUCAGACACGGAGCAGGUCAAAGCUCGCGAGCUGAUCAGCAGGGAUGACACCUGUGAAGAGCCACCGCCCUCCAGCCUGAGCC
ensembl:misc_RNA Metazoa_SRP Metazoan signal recognition particle RNA